UUUUACAAAUCAAGCUUGCUGAUUCACAGAUCGAACUACGAUUCUUACUUUUUAAUAUAUGUUUGUACAGAUGCUAGAUGUCUUCUUACUGGAUGUAUGAAAAAUGAAAAUAAAAUGUGUUAAAUAACCCUCGUUCAUACUGUAACCGGCAGGUCUGCCUGUGACAGGUGUAGGCCUGCUGAUUGGGGAUUUGGUACAGCUGUGUCUGUCCCUAUAUAAGAAACAAGGAGUGAGUGGACAGACAGUGGCUGCCUCUUUGCGUGGUGAUGCUGUAAGCGGCUGGACGUGUUGCAGAUGUCAUGAGCCACUGCGUGUUCUGUACCCACCCUUUUUAUACAUUUUAAUGUGCUUUUAGAGUGAUGUAUGUAUUGUGUGGUUAACUCUGUUUUAUCUUAUUGUUUACUAGGUCUGAGUCGGGUGCGUGUGGAGUCGGUGAGGGGGGCCCCUGGUGGCGGCGUCUUCCUCACUCCAGUUCCCUCACUGUAUUUGUUUAUUCCCCAUUUAGUGUGUAGUGAAAGUUUCUUUGGCAUGUUUUUUUUCUUAUCUUGUGUGGGUUUGUUUUAGUUGUUUUCAGCACGGAUUGGAGUGAGGUGCGCUGCCCCUUUACUGGCUUAGUCCACGGCCUCUCUCCUUCCCUCCCCUCCUGCACGGGCGGUCGGCUCGGCCUUCCGGUUUUUAUCUCUGCAUCUCUUUUUUUUUUGUAUUUUAUGUGUCCAGUUAAUCAGAGUAAAACUACAAUUUUAGAUUUUAAACUUGUUCAUUAAAUUAAAUUUUUAUAAGCUUU